rnacentral:misc_RNA from 1 species
AUUGAACCAGGAAGCUGCCCCAGCAAAAUGGCGAUGGGACCCAAAGAUCGGAAUCGUAACGCCCCGAGUAAGAAUUUUGGGGGUAUGAUCGGAUCAAUUCUUCAGGGAGUACUCGCCACACCCAAACUUGUUGUUGAUAAAAAGACGAUCGAAAAAUCAUGGAAAUUGAUGGACAGAGUAGUGAAAUUGUGUCAACAUCCAAGAAUGAAUCUGAGAAACAGUCCUCCUUUCAUUUUGGAUUUAUUACCAGAUACUUACCAACAUCUUCGAUUAAUUUACAAUAAACACGACGAUAAACUAAAUACUUUGAAUGAAAAUGACUACUUCCGAGUGUUUAUAGAAAAUCUCAUGAACAAGUGCAAAGCCACAAUAAAACUUUUCAAGGAAGGGAAAGAGAAAAUGUUUGAUGAAAAUUCACAUUACAGACGAAAUUUAACCAAACUAUCAUUGGUGUUUUCUCACAUGCUAGCAGAGCUUAAGGCAAUAUAUCCAAAUGGACAAUUUGCAGGGGACAAUUUUCGCAUAACAAAGAGUGAUGCAGCAGAGUGGUGGCGAAAAUCAUUUGGAGAUCGGUAAGGCUGGGUUUAUUCUCUCAGGGAACAAAUGAUAGUGACAGUCAGACCAGUUCGAAUAAUGGUGCAGUGCCGUAUAGCUCAGUUGGUAGAGCACCUGACCAAAGAUUCAGGGGGCCUGGGUUUGAAUCCCAGACUGGUCUGUCAUUAUUUUCCCACCCCUUUACAGAUUGAGCUGUAAAUGGUUAUUUCUUUUAAUCUUACGCUUGGUAAACCAUAUAGAGAGUGGUCAUUUUAAGGAAGUAGUUAGUAUUGAGAAUUCAUUAGAUGUUAUCAUGGUUAUAGGCAUUGACAUGAGAUCCUCCAAACCUUAAGGAGACUAGUAACUGUUAAAACAUGAAUGCACAGAAGUGUUGACACAUUAUACAUGCUCACUUGUAGUUGCAAAACUGUAGCUCUAUGAGAAAAAGGUUGACAGAUUGUAAUGUAGAUGUACAGUUCCAUUCAGAGCAUGUAAUUUAUGUUUUACUGAAAGGGGCAUUAGUUUUGGACUCAUAUUAGCCAAGUUUCUUAACACAUUCUGUGGAAAUAUUAUUUGGUACCAAAGUACUCUCUAGACAAUUUACUGCUGAAUUUGUAUCUUCUCUUGCCUUGUGCUUUCUCGUAAAACAUUCUCACCAACUUUAGAAAAUUAAGAGUGUUUAAUUUUGAUCCAGUCACCAUUUUUACCUAUAAACAAACUGCAUAUCACUUAAUUGGGCUAGUAAGGGUUUUUAAAAAGAAUUUCAGAGGCAGAUCAAUUUACGUCAGUGGUAAAAUUAGCCAUGUGCAAAGAGCACAUUUGUUAAGUACACUGUAACAUUAAGAUGUUUAGCAUGCAUAAAACUGUAGUUCUGUGGUCUAUCAAUUUUCCUGUAGAGCUACAGUUCUCUAGCUAGCCUCCUAGCAAUAACAAUCACUUUAAGGUAGGUGAAUCUCUGUAUCAGGCUUUGUAGCUACAUUUGCAAAAUAUAAUACUUCACAUUUAACACACACAGUAUAUUAUAUAACUAUACAGUACACAGAUACAAUAUACCGGUACUACCAACUAGUACACAGGGACAAUGGUUUAAGUAUUAUUUUGACACUACUCUGGCAUUGCACACAAAGGUACAUCCCUGUACACUUUGGAGUCAGGUUGAGGACCAUAAGGGAUUGAUAAGAGCUAAAACAAUUGUGUCAUUGUGGUAAAGGCUAAGUUGUUGUUCUGUUUUACAUGUACAGAGGGCCUCUAUCUAAUCUCAUGACACACUGGGUGACUUGAGGAGGAACUCCUGGGCAACUAUCUGAAUCCACCAACUUUAUGUAUCUAAAAUAUAUAUUUAUCUCAUUCUGCAAUAACCUACUGGUACCAGGGUAUUUAAAUUCAGAUCUAAUUUUCUAUUUUUGCAAGGAAAUGAAAUUAAAUAUUACUUAGUUUUACCUCGAUUAGCUUGAUAGAAUGUAUAAAAAAAAUAUUUGAUUUUGAAAAAUUUAUACAUGUUAUCUGCUAAAGACUUCUUCUUUUCUGAAUGAUUCCUUGUUGGUUAAAAGUGCCCUCUUAUGGGUCUAUCUAGUAAACUGUAUCAAAACAUGUUACAUGGAAUGGCCUUCUAUUCAGUGUAAAAGUAACAUUGUAAAUUAUAUAUUUAUUUAAGUUUGACCAUUGG